UGCUUCUCCAUCCACUCAGGGCCCUCGGGUCUUGGAGGUGAGCCAGGCCUGUGGUCAGAGGCAGCCCAUGCCACCUUCUGCCUCAGCUCACAUUGCCUGCACAGCUUGCCCUGACUUCUAUUCCUGACUUCAAGUCCUUGGCCUUCAGCACAAUCUGUCAAGAUUAACUUGACACCAAACUGGCUCUCUCUAGAACAUGCCUGGAAACCGGCUUCCUCUAGACACAAGAGCAAGAACAGUGCCUUCCUAGGAGCCUCUUUGGGGAGGGAAGAUGAGCUUCUGACACCUCCUACCUUGGGACAAAAUGCACUAUUUCCUGCUCUUCAUUUACAUCUGCAGUUGAUCUUGGAAUUGGUCACAGUACUCUGUGUGGCCAGUACACUGAGUGCAAUUUCAGGCUCAAGAAUGAAACAAUAGGUUGCUCUGUUUUCCCAAAGUUCUUGGGAGUCCUCAAGCCUCGUCCCCACCACAUCCUCCCAGAGCAUCUUU